AACGCACCUUGCGCUCCUUGGUAUUCCGAGGAGCAUGCCUGUUUGAGUGUCAUGAAUAUCUCAACCCUCAAAGUAUUCGUACUAUGAGCGGCUUGGACUUGGAGGCUUGCCGGCGUUCGUCGUCGGCUCCUCUCAAAUGAAUUAGCUAUGGAUCGCGAUGUGGUAUGAUCUAAAGUGUGAUACAUGUCUACGCUGAAGAUCGAUCACGCAAGCCACCGUCUUUUUAAGAUAGCGCCUUCACGGGCCGUGUGGUUAGCGAAUACAGAGCUCCUAACCGUCCACCCCUGUGGACAACAAACCCCUGACAUCUGACCUCAAAUCAGGUAGGACUACCCGCUGAACUUAA
rnacentral:misc_RNA from 1 species